CCUACGGGUGGCAGCAGUGGGGAAUAUUGGGCAAUGGGCGCAAGCCUGACCCAGCAACGCCGCGUGAAGGAAGAAGGCCCUCGGAUUGUAAACUUCUUUUAUCAAGGACGAAACAAAUGACGGUAAUUGAUGAAUAAGCCACGGCUAACUACGUGCCAGCCGCCGCGGUACUACGUAGGUGGCAAGCGUUAUACGGAUUUACUGGGUGUAAUGGGCGUGUAGUCGGGACUGAAAGUCAGAUGUGAACACCAUGGGCUCAACCCAUGGACUGCAUUUGAAACUGUAGUUCUUGAGUGUGGGAGAGGCAGGCGGAAUUCCGUGUGUAGCGGUGAAAUGCGUAGAUAUACGGAGGAACACCAGUGGCGAAGGCGGCCUGCUGGACAAUAACUGACGCUGAGGCGCGAAAGCGUGGGGAGCAAACAGGAUUAGAUACCCUUGUAGUC
rnacentral:rRNA from 1 species